rnacentral:rRNA from 1 species
UACGAAGGGGGCUAGCGUUGCUCGGAAUCACUGGGCGUAAAGCGCACGUAGGCGGAUUGUUAAGUCAGGGGUGAAAUCCUGGAGCUCAACUCCAGAACUGCCUUUGAUACUGGCGAUCUCGAGUCCGGGAGAGGUGAGUGGAACUGCGAGUGUAGAGGUGAAAUUCGUAGAUAUUCGCAAGAACACCAGUGGCGAAGGCGGCUCACUGGCCCGAUACUGACGCUGAUGCACGAAAGCGUGGGGAGCAAACAGG